rnacentral:lncRNA from 10 species
ACUCCUCGGAACCCUCGGAGGUUGCGCAUAAACAAUUUUUUCUUCCAGAACGGCCCCCCUCUCCGCCCUGGGGGAGCCGGGAGGAUGUGCAGCCCCAGUCCUCCUGCUCGGCGGAGCCUCGCGCGCGCAGAGCCUAGCGCGAUUCGCGCCCUCAUUACUACUACAAAGCGCGGGCCAGACCAAUCCCCUUUCUAAUGCACCAUUUUCGACUGAGAACAUCAAGAGGCCAGAAACUUCCAAGUCAGCUUGCAGACGCAGACGCCUCCUGGGGUCCUGGCUUUAAGAACCAGAUGCCAACACUCCCGGACAGUUUAUGGCAUCCGGAUCCCUCAAGGGUGCUCAUCUGCAGUUGAGAGUGAUUCUGUGUGAAGAAUACAGAGACAGACGUUCCAUUUCAAAGAAAAAAGAGCAACACGAAGGCCCUCUUUAAGGAGAGAGUAAACAUUCACUUUAGGUAAAAAAUAGUCUUUUACACGCCUGUGCACGGCACACCUCUUUUGCUGUUCACCUUGAGCCCAAGAGUUUGGAAAGGCUGCCCCCAUUUCAGAGAGGAAGAAACGCAGGCACACGUGAAUGACAGACUCCUCUGUGGUGGCCUAGACUCCAGCCAACACUUCCUAGGACAGCCUGCCAUUGUGCAAAGUCACCAUGUAACAAAUGCAGACAUCUCUGAGAUCACCAUGCAGUGAGGAAGUCUAAGCUGGUGGCAUGAAGAGGCCACAUGGAAAGGGCUAAAAAAGGGGCCAGCCUCAGUCAUCCCAGCUGAGCACCUGGCUGGGAAUAAAAGAGGACUCCGUGGAUGUUUACUCCAGGAGCUUCAGUGGUGCAUGCUGAAUGUGCUGUUUCUUGGGCUGGGGGACAGAGAUGUGCAUGCUGUUAUACACUCUAUAUUGAAAUGAUUGUAUAACAAUAUACUAAUUUAUCAUGUAAUAAAUUUGACCAGAAAGAAACAA